UUGUGACCAUACUCAGUCAUUUCUGUGAGCAUCCUGAUUACCAGUGUUUGGAAUUCUGCAUCUGAUAGGUUGACUAUCUCUUGAUUGCUUAGUUGUAUUUUUUCUGGGCUUGUGAUCUGUUUUCAAUAUGGGCCAUAUUUUUGUGUCUCACUGUUACAUAGAAAGGGGC